rnacentral:tRNA from 1 species
GGCACUAUGGCGGAGUGGUUAACGCGAUGCCCUGCUAUACCCAUUACGUGGCUUAGUCUAGGCAUUUCCCUCGGGAGCGUGAGUUCGAAUCUCACUGGUGUCG